UUGAUGUCAUGCUAGCUUUGAAGAACAAUCCUACAGGUACUCACCAGCAAUUAGCGGAGACCAUUGACCGAUCAAUCACCAAAGCAAUUAUCCUGGACAUGAUUUUCGGAGCCAUCGAUACCUCCCAAACUGCGAUUGAAUGGAUCAUGUCAGAACUCAUCCGACAUCCAAGAGUGAUGAAACGACUUCAAGAAGAAAUUAGUAUCGUAGUAGAUUGCGAACUUGUGGAAGAAUCACAUCUGGAAAAACUUGAUUACCUAGACAUGGUGGUCAAGGAAACCUUCAGACUCCAUCCAAGAAGUUAGAAGCAAGUUAAAACUUAUAAGUGAUAAAAGUGUUUGGGAAAUAAGUAGAAGCCAAGUAAUCGUAGGUUUUUUUAAGUACUUCUUGACUUUUUACACAAACGGUACAAAUAAGUGCUUCUAAAUUAUAAUUCAGAAGCCGGGCUUAUAAGUCUUUGCCAAACACCCACUUAAUUAUCAGAGACCCUGAUCUUUAAAUCUUUAAUGUAAUUGUUGUUAUCAGGGAUUAACUCGACGUUCCAGAGUUACUGCUAAGGCAUUUGAUAAAAUCCUGGAAACGAUCAUCGAUGAUCAUGAAGAAAAAGCUAGAAAUGACGAUACAAAGCUUGAUAGGGAUUUUGUUGAUGUCAUGCUAGCUUUGAAGAACAAUCCUACAGGUACUCACCAGCAAUUAGCGGAGACCAUUGACCGAUCAAUCACCAAAGCAAUUAUCCUGGACAUGAUUUUCGGAGCCAUCGAUACCUCCCAAACUGCGAUUGAAUGGAUCAUGUCAGAACUCAUCCGACAUCCAAGAGUGAUGAAACGACUUCAAGAAGAAAUUAGUAUCGUAGUAGAUUGCGAACUUGUGGAAGAAUCACAUCUGGAAAAACUUGAUUAC
rnacentral:lncRNA from 1 species